AGCGAACGCUGGCGGCAGGCUUAACACAUGCAAGUCGAGCGGGCCCUUCGGGGUCAGCGGCGGACGGGUGAGUAACGCGUGGGAACGUGCCUUCUGGUCUGGAAUAACCCUGGGAAACUAGGGCUAAUACCGGAUACGCCCUUUUGGGGAAAGGUUUACUGCCGGAAGAUCGGCCCGCGUCUGAUUAGCUAGUUGGUGGGGUAACGGCCUACCAAGGCGACGAUCAGUAGCUGGUCUGAGAGGAUGAUCAGCCACACUGGGACUGAGACACGGCCCAGACCCCCCGGGGGGGCAGGAGGGGGGAAAUUUGGACAAGGGGGGCAAGCCUGAUCCAGCCAGGCCGGGGGGGUGAUGAAGGCCUUAGGGUGUAAAAGCUCUUUUACCCGGGACGAUAAUGACGGUACCGGGGGAAAAAGCCCCGGCAAACUUCGU
rnacentral:rRNA from 1 species